GCUACCAUGCAAGUCGAGCGAUAACCCACUUCGGUGGGGACAUUGGUGAACGGGUGCGUAACGCGUGGGCAAGCUGGCCUUUACUCUGUUACAAGCCCUGGAAACGGGGUCUAAUACCGGAUACAACCCUCCAUGGCAUCUUGGGGGUUGGGGAGCUCCGGCGGUGACGGAUGAGCCCGCGGCCUAUCAUCUUGUUGGUGAGGUAAUGGCUCACCAAGGCGACGACGGGUAGCCGGCCUGAGAGGGCGACCGGCCACACUGGGACUGAGACACGGACCAGACUCCUACAGGAGGCAGCAGUGGGGAAUAUUGCACAAUGGGCGAAAGCCUGAUGCAGCGACGCCGCGUGAGGGAUGACGGCCUUCGGGUUGUAAACCUCUUUCACCAUGUAAGAAACGAAAAUGAGGGUACCUGCAAAAGAAGCUCCGGGUAACUACAUGCCAACAACCGCGGUAAUACAUAUGGCGCAAGCGUUGUCCGGAAUUAUUGAGCGUAAAAAGCUCGUACGCAGUUUGUGACGUCAAUUGUGAAACCCCGAGGCUUAACCUCGAGACUGCAAUCCAUACGGGCUAACUAGAGUGCGGUAUUGGAGAUCGGAAUUCCUGGUGUAGCGAUGAAAUGCUCAAAUAUCAGGAGGAACACCGAUAGCCAAAGAGAAUCUCUGGAACAUUACUGACGCUGACGAGCGAAUGCGUCAACAGCGACCCUCAUUAGAUACCCUGUGAGUCCACGACCGUAAACAGAGAGAACUAGGUGUUGGCGACAUUCCACGUCGUCUGUGCCGCAGCUAACGCAGUAUCUUCUUUGCCAGGUGAGUACGUCCGCAAGGCUCAACUCAAAGGAAUUGACAGGGUACACACAAAUGAAGUGCAUGUGCCUGAUUCGACGCAGCGCGAAGUACUUACUAGGCUUGACAUACAGCAGCAUACGUCAUGCAUGCAGUCGCCCCCAUGUGCUCGAUGUACAGUUGGUGCAUGGCUGACUUCUGAUACAGUGCU
rnacentral:rRNA from 1 species